GAAACGAGCAUAUGGGUCGGAGAUGGAAGAGAGAUAGGAUUGGAAAUCAGGGACCCGAGUUUCGGAUCCGGGUUUGGGUAGAGUUGAUAGAGGUAGGAAGUCAGGUGUGGGUAUAGAUGAUGAAGUGGACCACCACCAGAACCCAUCGGAUUUUCCGGCAUGUGGGUUGUUGAGAAUGGAGGCUAAGCUUUGGCUAUGAGGGCUGCUGCUACUGGCAUCGGAAAUUGAU
rnacentral:misc_RNA from 1 species